GCUUUCGACCAUACCACCCUGAACACCCCCCAUCUCGUCUGAUCUCGGAAGCUAAGCAGGGUCGGGCCUGGUCAGUACUUGGAUGGGAGACCGCCUGGGAAUACCAAGUGCUGUAAGCU
rnacentral:rRNA from 1 species